rnacentral:rRNA from 1 species
UACGAAGGGAGCUAGCGUUGUUCGGAAUCACUGGGCGUAAAGCGCACGUAGGCGGAUGUGUCAGUCAGGGGUGAAAUCCCGGAGCUCAACUUCGGAACUGCCUUUGAUACAGCACGUCUUGAGUCCGGAAGAGGUGGGUGGAAUUCCUAGUGUAGAGGUGAAAUUCGUAGAUAUUAGGAAGAACACGGGUGCGAAGGCGGCCCACUGGUCCGGUACUGACGGCUGAGGUGCGAAAGCGUGGGGAGCAAACAGGAU